rnacentral:rRNA from 1 species
UGUGAGCUCGAUGAGUAGGGCGGGACACGUGGUAUCCUGUCUGAAUAUGGGGGGACCAUCCUCCAAGGCUAAAUACUCCUGACUGACCGAUAGUGAACCAGUACCGUGAGGGAAAGGCGAAAAGAACCCCGGCGAGGGGAGUGAAAAAGAACCUGAAACCGUGUACGUACAAGCAGUGGGAGCCUCUUUAUGGGGUGACUGCGUACCUUUUGUAUAAUGGGUCAGCGACUUAUAUUCUGUAGCAAGGUUAACCGAAUAGGGGAGCCGAAGGGAAACCGAGUCUUAACUGGGCGUUAAGUUGCAGGGUAUAGACCCGAAACCCGGUGAUCUAGCCAUGGGCAGGUUGAAGGUUGGGUAACACUAACUGGAGGACCGAACCGACUAAUGUUGAAAAAUUAGCGGAUGACUUGUGGCUGGGGGUGAAAGGCCAAUCAAACCGGGAGAUAGCUGGUUCUCCCCGAAAGCUAUUUAGGUAGCGCCUCGUGAAUUCAUCUCCGGGGGUAGAGCACUGUUUCGGCAAGGGGGUCAUCCCGACUUACCAACCCGAUGCAAACUGCGAAUACCGGAGAAUGUUAUCACGGGAGACACACGGCGGGUGCUAACGUCCGUCGUGAAGAGGGAAACAACCCAGACCGCCAGCUAAGGUCCCAAAGUCAUGGUUAAGUGGGAAACGAUGUGGGAAGGCCCAGACAGCCAGGAUGUUGGCUUAGAAGCAGCCAUCAUUUAAAGAAAGCGUAAUAGCUCACUGGUCGAGUCGGCCUGCGCGGAAGAUGUAACGGGGCUAAACCAUGCACCGAAGCUGCGGCAGCGACGCUGAUGCGUUGUUGGGUAGGGGAGCGUUCUGUAAGCCUGCGAAGGUGUGCUGUGAGGCAUGCUGGAGGUAUCAGAAGUGCGAAUGCUGACAUAAGUAACGAUAAAGCGGGUGAAAAGCCCGCUCGCCGGAAGACCAAGGGUUCCUGUCCAACGUUAAUCGGGGCAGGGUGAGUCGACCCCUAAGGCGAGGCCGAAAGGCGUAGUCGAUGGGAAACAGGUUAAUAUUCCUGUACUUGGUGUUACUGCGAAGGGGGGACGGAGAAGGCUAUGUUGGCCGGGCGACGGUUGUCCCGGUUUAAGCGUGUAGGCUGGUUUUCCAGGCAAAUCCGGAAAAUCAAGGCUGAGGCGUGAUGACGAGGCACUACGGUGCUGAAGCAACAAAUGCCCUGCUUCCAGGAAAAGCCUCUAAGCAUCAGGUAACAUCAAAUCGUACCCCAAACCGACACAGGUGGUCAGGUAGAGAAUACCAAGGCGCUUGAGAGAACUCGGGUGAAGGAACUAGGCAAAAUGGUGCCGUAACUUCGGGAGAAGGCACGCUGAUAUGUAGGUGAAGCGACUUGCUCGUGGAGCUGAAAUCAGUCGAAGAUACCAGCUGGCUGCAACUGUUUAUUAAAAACACAGCACUGUGCAAACACGAAAGUGGACGUAUACGGUGUGACGCCUGCCCGGUGCCGGAAGGUUAAUUGAUGGGGUCAGCGCAAGCGAAGCUCUUGAUCGAAGCCCCGGUAAACGGCGGCCGUAACUAUAACGGUCCUAAGGUAGCGAAAUUCCUUGUCGGGUAAGUUCCGACCUGCACGAAUGGCGUAAUGAUGGCCAGGCUGUCUCCACCCGAGACUCAGUGAAAUUGAACUCGCUGUGAAGAUGCAGUGUACCCGCGGCAAGACGGAAAGACCCCGUGAACCUUUACUAUAGCUUGACACUGAACAUUGAGCCUUGAUGUGUAGGAUAGGUGGGAGGCUUUGAAGUGUGGACGCCAGUCUGCAUGGAGCCGGCCUUGAAAUACCACCCUUUAAUGUUUGAUGUUCUAACGUGGACCCGUGAUCCGGGUUGCGGACAGUGUCUGGUGGGUAGUUUGACUGGGGCGGUCUCCUCCUAAAGAGUAACGGAGGAGCACGAAGGUUGGCUAAUCCUGGUCGGACAUCAGGAGGUUAGUGCAAUGGCAUAAGCCAGCUUGACUGCGAGCGUGACGGCGCGAGCAGGUGCGAAAGCAGGUCAUAGUGAUCCGGUGGUUCUGAAUGGAAGGGCCAUCGCUCAACGGAUAAAAGGUACUCCGGGGAUAACAGGCUGAUACCGCCCAAGAGUUCAUAUCGACGGCGGUGUUUGGCACCUCGAUGUCGGCUCAUCACAUCCUGGGGCUGAAGUAGGUCCCAAGGGUAUGGCUGUUCGCCAUUUAAAGUGGUACGCGAGCUGGGUUUAGAACGUCGUGAGACAGUUCGGUCCCUAUCUGCCGUGGGCGCUGGAGAACUGAGGGGGGCUGCUCCUAGUACGAGAGGACCGGAGUGGACGCAUCACUGGUGUUCGGGUUGUCAUGCCAAUGGCACUGCCCGGUAGCUAAAUGCGGAAGAGAUAAGUGCUGAAAGCAUCUAAGCACGAAACUUGCCCCGAGAUGAGUUCUCCCUGACUCCUUGA